GAGAAUACCUGACAUUUCAACAGCUCGUUGACUAUUGCGGCAAGGCUUUGAGGGUCCCACUGUCGCCGGGACUGGAGGAGUAUGUGGCUUGCCGCUUGGUUAUGGCGAAGUCAGCCUUCGAAAUAGACACCGCAGCGGGUACUGUUUUCAGAAAGUAGGUUAAUAGUUUGUAAGGAGGCGCGGCGGUGGAGGCGUUUUGGUGUGACGUCGGUAACGCCGGGGAUUACUUCUGGGGUCCUCGGGGGUGCCGAUGGCCUUAAAUGUGGCCAGCACAAUUUUCACUCAUUGUUGUUUAGCUUGGGCCAAGCAGGACAGUGCACUUUCCAAGGCCAUGACAGCUCGUAAAGGAGUAUCGAGAUUGCAAUUUAUUCAAUCAAUGCAACUUGGAUGAGGUGCAACAUUUUUUUUUUGAGAGAAGAAGCUUGUGUUUCAGAGGAACUUGGUAUUUCUUGGGGACAGCCUUUUGGUUCCAUUGCUAAAAGUGGAAUCGCUUGUACAAAAGUUUAAAACUCAUAGGAUCAUCGAUUUAUCAGUAUCUGGCAGCAGGAUUGAAGAGGCCUCAAGAUUUGGAUCGAGAACUGCACUCAAACCCUUGCAUAUUAAACAACUCAAUGAUGAUAAUUCUGUUGGGAACCAAUGAUUUUCUGCGCAACAGGCAGUUCAAUUUUAAAGGGUAUGAGCUUAUCGUCAACAUGGCCUGGAAUUUUAGCACGAGGAUUUUGCUGGUGACAAUCCCACGGUUGCCAAAUUUCAACCCAGAAAUUUGUAAGGUGAACGAGUGGACAUGUGGUUCUCAGGUCAGGGAAAAAGUCACAGUUAUCGAAUCCACACAAUUUAGACAUCCUCAAUCAGCUGUAGAUCUCAGUCUGUUUGAGAAAACGUAUUUUAGUGGAACGACAGAUCUUGUCCAUCUUAACAGAAAAGGUCUGACACUAUUAGGAAAUGCCAUUCUUCAGCAAGUGAUGAGCAUCUGAAUGGAGAACAGGUAAUUUUUUUUUUUUUUUUUGAAUAUGCAUAUACUUUUUCAGUAGUAGCAGGUCGGAAAAGAAGAAAAAUUUGAAUACAAUAGAAAAAGUUAAAACUAAAAAAAUUUAAAGUGAUUGGUUCAGGUAAGCUUUGAACAUGUUUCCAAGAAUACUUGUACUUGAUACAACUUAUACGAUUUCAAAAUAUUUGCAUAAAGAGCGAACUCAACUUAUGCGAUAAGAAGUGGUGAGUGUAAGGAGCAAGAAACUCAAAUUACACAAGUGCAGAUAUUUUGCAUAAAGGAACUCUUCUUAUGGGACAAGAUAAAAUGCGCAGUAUAGAGAGAAAGGUCUCAACUUAUACCAUAGCAAAAUAUGUGUAUAAAGAGUAAAACUCAACUUGUGGGAUCUUGCCCACAAAUGGAUUGGCACAAAGAAGAGAGUCUUAACUCAUAUAAAGUAGGAAAAAUAGGUUUCUUGUCCAGAGAAACGAGGAGACACGUUAUCCAAGUGUUAGAAAAGGGACUUGGAAAGUUGAGUGUACUUCCUCUCUCAAGCAAAAUAUGGAAUGUAAUAAAGCUUAGAUAUUUUACCUAAUUAAUGAACGCACAAAUAAUUAAUAGAUCACUAAUAGAAUUAAUAGACUAGAAAGAAAUGGCACAGUGACACAGUGUUCACUCAAACUUCACUAGAAGGAGACGGAAUGAGGAAAAUAAGAUGAAAUCAACGUGUCGUUUUAUCUUAUUAUAAGACAAAACGAUAAUAUAAAAAGUACGAACACCGUUUGAAAUGCACCAACAAGAGAAGGUUUUUCUUUAUUUAAAUCAAAAUUGGUUGAAAUGAUUUUUCUUUGUGUGAAAAUUAAAAUGGAUUUAAUCAGUGAUCAGGUUAUGUUUUGUUCUGUUGUUGGUUUCUAUUUGCUGUCUUGCUUGGUUCCGCGGUUCAACAGAGGAAACGUAAAAAAAAGAGCCAAUCAGAAAUUGAUUUCGAAAGGCGCUACUCUAUUUCGGACGACUCGAGUGUUCAUUGGUUGACGAGAAACUACGUCAUUACCAAGGUGGCAACCACAAUCGAUUCUUCACUGAAAAAUGUUAAAUUAUAUUAAACGUUUAGGGAACCGCCAUUGAUCUACAUAAUGAUGAAUUAGUGAAUAAUAAUGUAAUCAUCGUAACUUUUAUGUAAAAAAAGACGCCAGAUUAAAGAUCAGGGGGAAGGGAGCCCCUUCACCUACGGGUCCCGGAUAGUGUAUUCCGUUGGUUGGAAAAAGUUAUGUUGGUACCAAGUCGUGAGCUGGCUACGGCAUUUUCGUUUUGGCGAACUCUGUUCUGAACAUGAACAAUAGCAUAGCUGCCGAAUGCUCCAUGCCCCGAUCCCGAAUGUGAUGUUUCAUUUCUUUCUAUUUGUGAUCGUGGAUUUUUGUUUAAAGUGAAAGUGAAGUAACUCACCUAAGUAAUGGAUCAUCAGAAAGGACGUAAAUUUGAUAGCCUUAUCCAAAAAGUGAGUAUGAUAAUAAUAUGCUCCUUCAAAACGAAUUGAUUUUCACCAAAUCAGUAUCCACCGACAAUGUGUCUCUAGGAUGACAACAAUUUGUCUACGUAAAUGCAUAAUCAGUGCCGAAUUAUUUAUUUAUGAACCACUGUCAGCAGCGGCCUGAUCAUUGAAAGGGUUAAGCAGCCCGAUCAGACAUCGAAAGGUGAUUGCUUUGUUACGAUAGGGCUAUAUCUUGACUUGUCGUGCUGACAGUUCCAUUGAUUGGGCCACAGGAGUUUAAAAACUUCUGUAUUACGUGGAUCCCUAUUGAGGUGUCUUGUUAAGCACAGAAGUGAUGUCUAACACAUGCUGGAUGGAACAUUUUCAUUGCCGAAAGAGAGAAAACAUGGACAUAUUUCUAUCAAACAGAACUGUGUGAAUGAAGACAUGAGCCCUGAGACUCGUAAGAAUAUGUGCGUAUCAGAGCUCACGUUGUAAUGGACAUAGUUCCAUGUGAUAGAAAUACGUCCAAAUGAUUAAUGAAAUGUUCAAAGAGGUUUUAGCAAUCCUGCAGAAAUAUCUUGGAACAGCAUGGUUAGAGACUAUUGCUUCAUCGGAAUCGUUUUGAUGAAGUAGACUGACUUCGUGGCCACGUCAUUGUCGCCUUGUAAACAAACAUGUAGUCUUUCCUCUGAUAAGGACCUUACGGUAAGGUGGCCUAAGUGCUCCUUGAAUCUGAAAUUUCUUAUUUUAAAGAGUCUGUAACUGAUUCAUGACAUGUUAAUGACUGCGUACUGAAUUGCAAUGCAACGAACGGUCCCAAUUAACUCACACAGAGUUUUACAAGAAAUUAUGUUCGUAGGCUUGGUACCAACGACUGAGUUUGACAAUGUCACUUACAGCAGAAGCCUUAGACACUAUAAAAUCAGUUUCUUCGCAAUUUUAAGUAAAUAUUUUUGAGCUGCUCAGUAUAGAAUCCUGUGAAUCAACUUAGUUGUAAUUAGUUUACGCCAUUUUAGAGUGAAAGAAUCCUGUGACUGAACUUGGUCGAAAUUAGUUUACGCCUUUUUGAGUGAGAUAGAAAAUCAGCUGAUCUCAGUUUUUUUCUUCUUAAAAUUCCAUUUCAAACCAUCAGUAAUGAGUGAUAGCUGACUGCUUCGCCAAGCAUUAUCAACUUUUCUACAUAAUUCUUUGGGGAGGAUGAAAUGCAGUAUUGCCAAACUCCAAGAAAAGCCUCUGUUAAACUUUGAGCAUACUGUGUAGCAUCGAAAGGAAAAAUAAUAUUAGUUCGAUGGGUACAUGUCCCUUUAUUAUUAAUUUCAUUGCUAGAUGCUAUGUCUGCGUUUAGGCCUACUUGACAUAUUAGUGUUUGAAGCUCUGAAAUUCUUUAACCUUUGUGUUUCUUAUCUAGGGGUCAAAGGGAGACUUGCUGGCACAGAAAGUGCAUAAAAACAAGCGUAAACUAGUAGAAAGGCAGAUUCAUAAUGUUCCCGCGCUAACAAUUUCCUGUUUAAUGGUCAACGAAAUGCGUGAGGAGGAGAUCAUCAAUCUCCUAGCUCCACCUCCUCCUCCUCCACCACCACCCGCAACGGCAGCACCCGCAACGGCAGUUUAUGGGUAUCCAUAUGGUUAUCCAGUGUAUCCAUAUGGAUAUCCCCCCUUAAUUUGGCCAGGGCCCCGUCAGCCGCCCCGCCAACCCGGGAGAAUGCGACGAUGGUAUCAAUGAUUUAAAUGGACGGUGAAAAUCGAAGCCACCAAGAAUCGAAUAAGCCCAAAAAAGGAGAAUUAAAGAGAGUCUUAUCUACCCAAGACAAAGGCGGACUUACCAUAACGAAACGCAAAUGUACGGAUACAAAUAUACAUCAUUCUACAGUGAUCACUAUCCUAUUUAUGUCCAGUUAGCAUUUCAAUAAUUAUUCUCAGUAGAUUAGUACCCAAUCGCAAAUAGCAAAUUGGCAUGACAAUUAUGAAUUGACCUCUCAAUUUAGUACAAAGAAAUUCAGAUUUUUCCUAACAAUUUGCAAGAUUCUUGGAGCAUUUGGUCAUUAAAUGACAAUUUUAAAUGCAGAAUAUUUACAAAACUUUCCCAUGACGGAAGUAGCCAUAUUGUUACCUUCAACGAUACUUGUAAUUAUGAUAAGCAUGUUGAUUUCUUCAUUGUCUACUUAUAACCGAUAUGUGUCAAACAUUAAAUUGAUACCUUCAAA